AACCCAUGGUGAGGGCACCUUCGUAAUAAGUUCUUGUAGCUCUAUCUCUCCCAUGCAUCAUAAAGAGUUUCUAGGUCAAUCUGCACAAAAGAAGAAAUAUCAUUCCUCAAUUU
rnacentral:snoRNA from 1 species